AUACCCUAUUAUUUUUAGUGUAAAUUUAAAACUGGAGUAUUAGUAGUUAAGGUCUUGAAACUUAAAGAAUUUGGCGGUAUUAUAGUCUAUUUAGAGGAAUCUGUUAUGUAAUUGAUAAUCCACAUUGAACCUUACUUUCAUUAUUUCUUGUAUAUCGCUGUUUAUUGAGAAUACUUUAAGGUUAAUUUUCUGGAGAUUAAAUUAAUUAAGAUUUCAAGUCAAGGUGCAGUAAUAUGGAAGUUGAAUAAUGGAUUACAAUAAAAUAUAUUUAUAUGGAUUAUUAUUAUAAUUAAUAAUGUGAAGGUGGAUUUAAUUGUAAUUUUAUGAAGAUUGUUAUUUUGAUUAUAGCUCUAUAAUAUGUACACAUCGCCC
rnacentral:rRNA from 1 species